AACCGGAGGGCAGAAGGCUGCUCUAAGGGAGGGACAAGCUUCUGAGGCUAGGAAAGAACUUAUGCACGCCGGUUGGAUUCUACCUUCCUACCCGUGAAGACCGCCUCUUCCUAGCUCUCCCGAAGCUUCCGUGACCUCGUAGAACGUGGAAUAAGUUCCUACAUGACAGCCUGGAUUCCUGAUCCGUUAGAACCUGUCUCAGUCUUAGGGCUGCGAAAGGAAAAGCGUCUAGAAGCAGCACUUAGCAUGAUCCCUGUUCAUAGAGGAUGAAAGAGCUGAGAGAUGGCUUCAGGGAGAAAUGCUGGCUGAAACAAGAGUGAGAAACACUAAGAGAAUUAGCAGUUUCCGAUAAAAUCUGUAGUUGAUUCUA
rnacentral:lncRNA from 1 species